GCAGGCAACUCCGGGUCCCGCAGCGAUGGGGCACGCUAGCGCCUGAGCCCCUAGGCUGCGCGGUGGGAGGGUGUCCGCCGGUGCUCACCUUCAAGGGGUGGGGCUAUAAGUGUGUUUUCUCCUUCCAGGCGAAGUGCUAAUGUCAAGGUCCCCUGCAGCUUUUUGUACUGGAUAUCAUGGCUGCUAAGAAACUCAGAAGAGCAAGGUUGUCUCAGGAGCUGUGUGAAAGGCUGAGUCGCCAUCAGAUCACUACCUGUCAGGACUUUUUAUGUCUUUCCUUCUUGGAGCUAAUGAAAGUGACGGGGCAGAGCUACUAUGAUGUGCAGAAGCUUCUUUGUAAAGUCAGCCGAGCUUGUGCUCCCAAAAUGCAGACAGCUUAUGAAAUGAAACUGAGGAAGUCUGUCAAUCCCUCUUCAGCCUUUUUAUCUACCACGCUGCAUAGUUUGGAUAAAGUCUUGCAUGGUGGAGUGCCCUGUGGAUCUCUCACAGAGAUAACUGGCCCACCAGGUUGUGGCAAAACUCAGUUUUGUAUUAUGGCAUGUGUUCUGGCUACACUGCCUGUAAGCAUGGGAGGACUAGAUGGGGCUGUUAUAUACAUUGACACAGAGUCUGCAUUCAGUGCUGAGAGGUUGAUUGAGAUAGCAGGGAACAGAUUCCCUACUUAUUUUGACUCGGAAGAAAAGCUGUUCUGCAUGACCCGUAGCAUCCACCUGUAUCGAGAGCUGACCUGUGGCAGUGUACUGAAGAGGAUUACGUCUUUGGAAGAAGAAAUUAUUUCAAAGAAAGUUAAACUCAUAAUAGUUGAUUCUAUUGCUUCAGUUGUCAGAAAGGAAUUUGAUACAAAACUCCAAGGCAACCUGAUAGAGAGAAGUAACUUUUUGGCUAGAGGAGCAUCAGUGUUGAAGUAUUUGGCGGAGGAGUUCUCAAUACCAGUUAUCUUGACGAAUCAGAUUACCACAUCGUUGAGCAAUGGCCUUGGGAUCCAGGCAGACCUGGUGUCUCCAGCUGAUGAUUUGUCCCUGUCUGAAGGAGCUUCUGGAAGUGCGAAAAGGGAAUCUGGUUGUGUGAUAGCAGCCCUUGGCAACACAUGGAGUCACAGCGUCAAUACCAGGCUCAUACUACAAUAUCAUGACUUGCUGACAAGACAGCUCCUGGUUGCUAAAUCCCCUGUUGCUCCAUUCUCUGCCUUUUUCUACACUAUUGAGAAAUCAGGCUUGGUUCUUCAAGAUGGAAAGGAUCAAACAAAUCUAACCUGGGAAGGAACCAAUCCUGCCCUGCAGACCAUACGAGUGAGGAAUACCACCUUGAAAAAUCCUUUACUUGAUGGUGCUUUACCCAGCACUACUGGUGAGACUCCAAGCAAUACAUCCUAUCUAUAGAAGGGACAAAUGAAACGUUCAUUAAGAAAUGAAUGAGUGACAACAUCGGUUUUCAAAAAUACAGUGAAGCAGACAGUGAGCAUUCUUCUUCUUUUGUCUCUUUAAAGACUUAGUUAAAAACACGUGCUCUUCUUCAUAUGUGUGCGGCCAUGGUUAACUCUGAACUUAGGAAAAUCCUGUAUUUUGUUCAGGUUUAUUGAAGUGACAUUGUAAUAAAAGCCUCUGAACAACACACAUGCUGCUAAAGAAGCAUAGACCACAUGUGCCUUCCUAAUUCACCCCAUUACCUCACCAAUUUGGAGGAACCAACAGUCAAACAUAAGAGUGCUUGGUGUCCACAGCCCAUAACAUAGUGAAAUAUUUGCUUCUGCUUUUCACAAGAAAUUAUAAACCCACUCACUGGCUUGAUUGACAAGCAGUAGUUAAGGGAGGUCUUAUUCCUGUAACUCACUUGAAAAUCUUCAGAGGUGAUGUAACAGAGUUAGUAAUGGCUAGGCUCUGACAGUUUAGAAUGGAAGGAGAACAGGUAGCAAUCCAAACGGUGGGAAGAUUGGUGUGCAGUACAGCUGCUUAGCUUCCUCUGUCUUCAAAGCGCUUUUAAUGUAUUCACAACAUGACAGCAAACCACAGAACUAUUUACUCAUCUUACAGACGUAGAGAAUAUGACUCGUUCAAGGCUGCUGAAGGCAUUACUUACUGGCUGUGCUGUGAUCAGGUUCAGGUUGUUCCUGGCUCUCAAGCCUCACAUGCCUAAGGGAAAGCCAUGGGUUCACUUAGUGUUGACUGCCAAUGUACAGUCACCAUUGGUCUGAGAGGCUUCUUCUGUCCUCUGCAGUCACAGGGAAAGCCUCCCAGAGCAAACUCUUGAAAAGCAGAGUAAUCUGUACAGAAAUACGGGAGGUCUGGAGAACUGCUGAAGGGGAUCUAGGAAAUCCAGCAAGAAAAUCAGUUGCAGAGGGUCCACCUGUGUCAGUGAGGUGAGCAGUUUGCAAUCUGCUGUUUUGUAGGCAGCCUUUGGGCAAUGAGAGAGUUCCUGGGGAGCACGUGGCCCCUAUUGAAAAGUACUGCAUACUACUACUGUGGCAGUGCAAGAGGGUGAGAAGCUGAUGGGGUGUGGCAGCUGGUGUCAUGUCACUCCCAGCCACCAAACAGGAUGGCAUGGAGCAGGCUACUCUGCAGCUACCUACCUGCUCACGCAGCUUCAGGCUCUCCUUUAACAAGGAAAUUUCCAUCACAGGAAGGAAGCUACUCCAUUUCAAUAAGCUACUUUUAAAAGCUAAUACGUUUCACCUUGGGGAAGAGCAGUUCUCCAGCUUCAGUGUUACCAGUUUUGUGCUUUGAAGAGACCUUUGUAAAAAGAAAAUAUUAAUUUUGUUUUAACUAAAGUUUAGAUUUUCUUGGCAGUGCUGCACUCCUGGCCAUUCACUCAAACCCUGCUGAACUUGCUUGUAGCCAUUUUAUGUGGAUGUCUUGUAAAUAUUUGGUAGAGCACUCAGACACAGAAGUGUUUCUUGCUCUUAGAGUCACAUGCCUGGUUCCAGGAACUUUCAGAAGCACAAAAGGCUGAAGGCAGGGAAAAUUCCACUGAGAUGCAUUUGAGUCUCCAGGGAGCAACUGCACGCUGUUUAGACUAAAAUUUCUCAUUGCUGCCUCUCCCUUUUUUAAAAACCAUGCAAGGAUAGAGAGGAGAAGCUGGAGGGUAGGGGUUUUUUAAUAUCAUAAAUACCAAAGUGUUUUCACUCAUUUCUCUCACAUUGCAGGACCAUUUGCAGAUGGAGAGGCAGAUAAGCUUUUUAAUGCUCUCUGCAUACCUGGGAAAUUUCCAUCCAAGUUUUAAAAUGUUUUAUAAACAUUAAUGAAUUAAAGCUUAAUCCCCUUCUUCUCAGCCCUGUGAAGCAAGUACUAAAUACAGUUUAAAGACAGGGCUAAUAAACUAGGAAGGUUGUGCCUUGUCUAAAGUCACACAGGCAGCGUGGUAAAAGGGUUCAGGUCUUUGCGUCCAAGCUUUCGACCUUACACCACAAACACACAUUCCGUCCCUCUUCAAGGCUUGCUGUACUUCCCCUUCUGGGAUAUAGUGAAAACAUGCUGGCAUCACACCUUGAGAUAACCUUGUUUUUUCCCUAGGUACAGGGAGACUACUCAUAGCUGCUGUCCCAUGGGAUUAAGGUGUUGAAAAGAUCAGAGAGGGAUGUGAGGGGAAUGGGGAAGAAGCAAGUCACAGCUCUGUCUGCCUUUGGGAGUGUUCUACUUCCUCUGCUGCCAGUGAAGUUAGUGUACUAUCAGGAGCAACCUCAAACAUUUUUGUACGUGCUUCCAUGUAAUAUUCAAGCAGAAUGUGCUUCCAUAUAAUAUUCAGGCAGGACUGUGGUAAAAAUGCCAUAACCGAAAAGAGAGCUUGGCCAACAAGAAAAUUGGACAGAUGAGCCAGUAAGUCACUCCUGUAGUGAAUAUAUGUGAUUUCAUUAUC